rnacentral:rRNA from 1 species
UUGAACGCUGGCGGCAGGCCUAACACAUGCAAGUCGAGCGGUAGCACAGAGAGCUUGCUCUCGGGUGACGAGCGGCGGACGGGUGAGUAAUGUCUGGGAAACUGCCUGAUGGAGGGGGAUAACUACUGGAAACGGUAGCUAAUACCGCAUAAUGUCGCAAGACCAAAGUGGGGGACCUUCGGGCCUCAUGCCAUCAGAUGUGCCCAGAUGGGAUUAGCUAGUAGGUGGGGUAACGGCUCACCUAGGCGACGAUCCCUAGCUGGUCUGAGAGGAUGACCAGCCACACUGGAACUGAGACACGGUCCAGACUCCUACGGGAGGCAGCAGUGGGGAAUAUUGCACAAUGGGCGCAAGCCUGAUGCAGCCAUGCCGCGUGUGUGAAGAAGGCCUUCGGGUUGUAAAGCACUUUCAGCGGGGAGGAAGGCGUUAAGGUUAAUAACCUUGGCGAUUGACGUUACCCGCAGAAGAAGCACCGGCUAACUCCGUGCCAGCAGCCGCGGUAAUACGGAGGGUGCAAGCGUUAAUCGGAAUUACUGGGCGUAAAGCGCACGCAGGCGGUCUGUCAAGUCGGAUGUGAAAUCCCCGGGCUCAACCUGGGAACUGCAUUCGAAACUGGCAGGCUAGAGUCUUGUAGAGGGGGGUAGAAUUCCAGGUGUAGCGGUGAAAUGCGUAGAGAUCUGGAGGAAUACCGGUGGCGAAGGCUGCCCCCUGGACAAAGACUGACGCUCAGGUGCGAAAGCGUGGGGAGCAAACAGGAUUAGAUACCCUGGUAGUCCACGCCGUAAACGAUGUCGAUUUGGAGGUUGUGCCCUUGAGGCGUGGCUUCCGGAGCUAACGCGUUAAAUCGACCGCCUGGGGAGUACGGCCGCAAGGUUAAAACUCAAAUGAAUUGACGGGGGCCCGCACAAGCGGUGGAGCAUGUGGUUUAAUUCGAUGCAACGCGAAGAACCUUACCUGGUCUUGACAUCCACAGAACUUUCCAGAGAUGGAUUGGUGCCUUCGGGAACUGUGAGACAGGUGCUGCAUGGCUGUCGUCAGCUCGUGUUGUGAAAUGUUGGGUUAAGUCCCGCAACGAGCGCAACCCUUAUCCUUUGUUGCCAGCGGUUCGGCCGGGAACUCAAAGGAGACUGCCAGUGAUAAACUGGAGGAAGGUGGGGAUGACGUCAAGUCAUCAUGGCCCUUACGACCAGGGCUACACACGUGCUACAAUGGCAUAUACAAAGAGAAGCGACCUCGCGAGAGCAAGCGGACCUCAUAAAGUAUGUCGUAGUCCGGAUUGGAGUCUGCAACUCGACUCCAUGAAGUCGGAAUCGCUAGUAAUCGUAGAUCAGAAUGCUACGGUGAAUACGUUCCCGGGCCUUGUACACACCGCCCGUCACACCAUGGGAGUGGGUUGCAAAAGAAGUAGGUAGCUUAACCUUCGGGAGGGCGCUUACCACUUUGUGAUUCAUGACUGGGGUG